rnacentral:rRNA from 1 species
AUUGAACGCUGGCGGCAUGCCUUACACAUGCAAGUCGAACGGUAACAGGUCUUCGGAUGCUGACGAGUGGCGAACGGGUGAGUAAUACAUCGGAACGUGCCUAGUAGUGGGGGAUAACUACUCGAAAGAGUGGCUAAUACCGCAUGAGAUCUACGGAUGAAAGCAGGGGAUCGCAAGACCUUGUGCUACUAGAGCGGCCGAUGGCAGAUUAGGUAGUUGGUGGGAUAAAAGCUUACCAAGCCGACGAUCUGUAGCUGGUCUGAGAGGACGAUCAGCCACACUGGGACUGAGACACGGCCCAGACUCCUACGGGAGGCAGCAGUGGGGAAUUUUGGACAAUGGGCGCAAGCCUGAUCCAGCAAUGCCGCGUGCAGGAUGAAGGCCUUCGGGUUGUAAACUGCUUUUGUACGGAACGAAAAGGUUUGGCCUAAUACGCUGAACUCAUGACGGUACCGUAAGAAUAAGCACCGGCUAACUACGUGCCAGCCGCCGCAGUAACAC